UGUGGAACGUAGUUUAUAUUAGAGGAGUGAAAGCUGUGUAAAAUCAUUAUUUUUUAUACUUAACGCUACUAAUCUACUAAGUGAACAUUAAAUUCAUUCUAAGGCCGUAUUUGAAAGAAGAAUUCAAUAAUCGCCUUCAUUUAUAUAUAUUGGGCAAGUUCUACACCUGUAUGAGAGAUUCCCUAGCAAGCUCAUGUGGAAGUGUUAAAUCACUAGAAUCACUACUUAGAGUGGUCAGGAUCGAUGUUUAGUUUGUCUAUAGCAUCGAGUAUAUUUCAAAGAUCUACCCAGACAACGUGGAGCUGUGUGUUGAAUUUUGCAAAAUAUUUUUGGAGUAGUCAGAAAACGAAUACUUUAACAAUGCACGAAGCAAGGAAGAGGUAUCACUCUCAUUCAAGAUCCAAAUCUAGAUCUUAUUCUAGAGACAGAAGUUAUGAUCGUAAGAAGCUCAAAACGCAUUUGAAUGGAAGAGAUCGUGAUGGAAAACGUAGAAAAUUAGAUUCUUACGAUAGUCCAUCAUACAAAAAAUCAGUCAGCAGUCAAAGAGCUCAUCGAUCAAGGCAGUAUGAAAGAGGAAGUAGCGCCGAGAGGAGGUACAAGAGGAGUCGCAGGAGAUCCCGCACUUCCAAAAAACAUCGUUAUUACCACGACAAAAAGAAGCAUAGAAGAUCCCUUUCAACGGAGCAUCAAACUUCAAAAAUUGCAUCUGUGGAGGAUGACGAAGAAGGACAUCUCAUUUAUGAAAUAGGAGACAUCAUAAAAAGCAGGUGUGACCAUAGAAGGAAUCUACUGUGAUGUAUAUAGUGGCAAGCAGAUGCUACUAGAGUGAUUCUGUAUCGAAUGGGUAACGACUUCUACAUGAAAUCUACUCGGAGAUAUAUUAAUUUGAAGCAAAGACUGGUGAAAACUCUCUCGAAGUAACAAAUUCCAUACAAUUGCUCUUGAAAACUGUUAUAAAUUACCUAAAGAUGAAGAAGUACCCCUAUAUUCUACAUUUAUAUAUAUAGAAAAGUGUAUGCUUCUCCAAAUGAUUUUGGUGAGUAAAUAAUCGAUUUAUUCGAACUAGAUCCUAAUAAAUCAUUUCCAAAAUCCAGUCCUUUGCGUUUAUCUGUAUAUAAAUGGUACAGUGUAAAUUCCAAUACCAGUUAAAUCGUGUUUAAGUUUAAACAAUUUUAUGAUCUGUAUUUGUUGUACUGAAUAUUUUGUUAACUUCGAUUAAAUCCACCGUCAAUUGCAUUAUUUGGUCCUUCGAACCGGAUACGGAAAGCUCCAAAGAUCAAACAGUAUAAUUGUGAGUGUUGGUGUAAUAAGUUUAGUUCAAAUAUCAGAAAUUUCAACUACUGACAAUCACAUUCUGGUCCUUCGAGCCGGAUGGAAAUCUCUAAGGACCAGGUAUUAUUGCUUAGUGAAACACUUUAUGUUUACGUAGAAUAACACUGUCUUGUACUUCCUGCCUUCCAUGGGUUCAUAUGCGGCUCCGAAGGACUAGGGUAAUGUAAUUAGAAGUAUCUAAUCCAACAAAAAAAAACACAAAUUUUGGGAAAAAAUAUAGUACGUAAUCUCCUUUUAUCUUCAUACACUUCUAGCGAUGUUCAAUAAUUCCGGGAAUAGAAAAUAAUCGGAGGGGGCUAAAUCUGGCGGUUAGGGUUCAAACUUUAAUUCAUUAUUUUUGGCAAUUGCAAUAACAGAUGUGUCAGCUAGUGCAUUAUCUUGAUGAAACAUUUGCUUCUCAGCCAAAUGCGGCCGUUUUUGCUUGAUUUCUUCGCUCAAACGUUGCAAUAAGUUUGCAUAAUAGUCGCCGUUGAUAGUUUUUCCUUUUCCAAAAUGGACAAUGGAAAUUAUGUCAUGUGAAUCCCAAAAAACCGACGCCAUGACCUUGCCUGCAGAUGGAACGGUCUUUCGCUUUCUUUGGAGCUGAUUUUCCCUUUUCAAUCAAUUGUUUUGAUUGUUUUUUUUUUUUCGGGUUUGUAGUGAUGGGCCCACGUUUCAUCAAUGGUUAUGAAACGACGUAAAAAUUCGGCUUCAUUUCUGUAAAACUUGCCAAACACUCGCAAUGGAAACAACUUCUCGAUGCUGUUUUUGUUCCAUCUUGUACACAGUUUUCUCAUGUCCAAAUUUUCUGUUAAUAUGCGAUGUACCGCACUUUUUGGAAUGCCUUCUAUGUCUGCUAGUCACGCUCUUUCAGUCGACGAUCAUCCAAUACCGCUUUGGGGUUUUUUUAACAUUUCUGGUGUCUUUACCUGAUUUGGUCGACCACUACGAUGCUGGUCUUCGCAUGUCCUACGUCCUAAUUUAAACUCUGCUGCCCAAUAUUUUACUGUUGAUAACGAAGUAUCAGUCUCGCUCAGGGUAAAUUUAGUCCAGCUCUUAGUAUUAGUUCAACUAAGACCUUCCUUCCCAUGUUUACAAAUUCACUAAAACAUUCACUAUUGACGGCUGCCAAACAAAUACGAAAAAACAUGGCGUCUUCCAACUUGUAUAGAUUGUGUACUUUCUAAUAUUUUUCGAGCAACUACCGCCAUCUCUGUUAUGCCAAGUACUUCUGGGAUCAUCCUCGUAACAUCAAGUGUUAGAAUUUAUGAAAUUUUUGAUGCCUGCCUGGUCUUUUAAUCCUGAUAUACACUUUCUGAAGGCUAGCGAAUGUUGGUUCAGUGAUAAUAAAGUUCAAAUUUUUCACUAAGCCAGAAUUCCUGGAACUGUUGACGAUAUUCCUACUGAACAUAUUACAACACCACUCAAAAUUAUACUAUCUGGUCCUUCGAGCCGUAAGAGAUCAAUAUCCGGUUCGAAAGACCUCGUAGUCUGCCCUUGUUGAUUAUUAUGUAUGUAGUUUUAACUGUACCAGUUAUAUUGAGCUUCAAAUCGUAUUACAUAAAACCUGGUCAUUCAAAUUUUGUAUUCCCGUUUUGUAUGGUAACCACAUUAUAUGUUUAACAUUUGCCACACCAGUAACUAUACUCUUUUAGGUGAAGGAAAAAUUAUGUUUACGAUUACAUGAUUUUUUCUUGCUACGUUGUAUCUAACACUGCAGCGGUAUAUUAAAAAUUAUUUCCCAUAAUAAUGAUGACAAUCUUUAGGAAAGACGAUGUAGAUGUAUUGGGAGCAGACCAAAUAUGUAUCAACGAUUCUACGGUUUUUUCUAGUAAUUUUUUAUAUUAUAGUAAACUCAACUUACAAAGACGACUCAGUAAACACACGAGAGUAGUGUAGUAGUUUUGGAUACUAGUUUAUAAGAGAGUUGGAUAGGGAGUUGAGGACGACAUUUGAUCUGGCUGCCUCUUUAAGUUGAGUGUAUUAUAUGCCAUUAUUGUAGCUUUCAUAAAUCUGAGCUAGGAACAGAUUACACAAUGUUUAACCCUAAUAAGAUAUUUUCUCCAGAUUUAUUUAAUUAUCCCUAUUCCACCAACUUUCCAUUAUCAUGGUUCUACUGGAAGCAUAUAAUAUGUAAUACUCUUAUAUGGACAGUUGGUCUCGUUCGAGACACUUUAUCUUUACUGCGCGUGCUUGAGAUUGCGCAGAACCUAGUUGGAACCUCGGAGGAUAGAGAAAUCGUUAGCAUUCUGUCUUUCUUAGUCGGAACAGCGGCCACUUAUAGAAACUGUCCAUAUGGAAGUAUUACAUAUAUGACUGGAAGUACAUUGUACUGGGUGGACCAAUAAACCAAUCUAUAUACACAUUCUUGUUGUGUUGGAAAAAUACUAAGUCUUACUAUUGUGAAAGUGUAAAAAUUUUUAUCCUUAUGGACAACAUUUUGUUACAUAGGGAAAUUUGAAAGUUCAAAAGGUUUUCAGAGGAUUAUAGAGGACUCAAGUAAGAAAUCUUUUGAUAAGAAACACUGAAUAAAUAUUAAUCUGCCCUCAACAAUUGGUUUCCAAAUAUCGAUUUAAUCAAAUAUAUCUAAAUUUUUUUCUUAUUUAGGUUAUAUCAUCUUCCGAAGAAGCUAUUCAAUUUUAAUCUUUGUUUGAUAGUACAAAUAUAAAAAAUUUUAAAUUUACAUAUUUUUAUUUAUUUAUUACAUUAUUUUUAUAAACAAAUGUAAAAUCAAUUUUAACUUUGAAAAAUAAUAAAAUAAUUUUUAAU